GUGAGGAAUAUUGCGCAAUGGAGGCAACUCUGACGCAGCCAUGCCGCGUGCAGGAAGAAGGCGCUACGCGUUGUAAACUGCUUUUAACCGGGAAGAAACCCCAGGACGUGUCCUGGGUUGACGGUACCGGAGGAAUAAGCACCGGCUAACUUCGUGCCAGCAGCCGCGGUAAUACGAAGGGUGCAAGCGUUAUCCGGAUUCAUUGGGUUUAAAGGGUGCGUAGGCGGAGCGUUAAGUCAGUGGUGAAAUCCUGCAGCUUAACUGUAGACUUGCCAUUGAUACUGGCGCUCUUGAGUGCGCUGGAAGUGGGCGGAAUGUGCCGUGUAGCGGGGAAAUGCUUAGAUAUGGCACAGAACACCAAUUGCGAAGGCAGCUCACUAAGGCGAUACUGACGCUGAGGCACGAAAGCGUGGGGAUCGAACAGGAUUAGAUACCCCGGUAGUCC
rnacentral:rRNA from 1 species